UACGAAGGGGGGCUAGCGUUGCUCGGAAUCACUGGGCGUAAAGGGUGCGUAGGCGGGUCUUUUAAGUCAGGGGGUGAAAUCCUGGAGCUCAACUCCAGAACUGCCUUUGAUACUGAAGAUCUUGAGUUCGGGAGAGGUGAGUGGAACUGCGAGUGUAGAGGUGAAAAUUCGUAGAUAUUCGCAAGAACACCAGUGGCGAAGGCGGCUCACUGGCCCGAUACUGACGCUGAGGCACGAAAAGCGUGGGGAGCAAACAGGG
rnacentral:rRNA from 1 species